AUCCUUCAUCCUGAACUAACUGAUUAUCUGUAACAUGGCAAUUUCCAAAUAAUUGGGCUUAAAUCUGUAUAAAGGAACACCAGACAUUCAGUUAAUGACAUUUUCAAAAAUUAUUUCAUUCCAAGGAGGGUGUAAAUAUUUAAGUACACACUACAUCUAUAAAUAACAUUAUUUUUACUUACUCAUGAAGAUAUUUUUCAUGUUAGUGGAAAUAUUUAACGUUGAUCAAAUUUUCUCUCCUUCCUGAAAUCUUCAAUUUAUACCCCCCUCUUUGAGACACAUUUUAUUUCUAAAUAGCAGUCACUUGUAGCAUUUGUUUUUUUUUUUUUUAUUCAUAUAGCUUAUCUCCCUAAAUUUAUGAUUAUUGUUUUGGAAUGUAAACUUUAUCAGUUAUGUAUAGUCAUCAGUUAUAUAUCCAUAGAUCCCUCCUUAGUAGUUGAUACAAAUGAUUUGUCUACAAGAUUAUGUCUACAUCAUCUGCACUAAAAGCAGGGCUAAUAUACAGCAGGCAACAAGUUGUGACAGCUAAAAUCCAUCCAGUGGAAGACAUCAGCCAGAAACCAGCUGACAAAGGAGACACAUUUGCAAAGCCCUGUUCCCCUAAACAAACACAGGACAGGAGAGAGCAGAUUCAGGCCCUAAGUCAAAGAAUUUUGUGCAGUCGACUAUGUAGACCAGUGAUGCCUAAGGAUAAGGAAAAUUGAAUUCCUAUUCUUGAGUUCAUACAGAAAAUGAGAGCAAAGUUAGCAAGAAGCAGGUUCUUUCCCUUGAUAUUACCAAAAAGAUCACAAGAGGAUGUCUAAGAAUGAUAAUGAAGAAGACAAAACGAAACCUCUGACUCUGAAGACAUCAUUCGUAUAAAAUCUAUAG